GCCCCCGUAGCUCAGACGGAUAGAGCAGCAACCUCCUAAGUUGAAGGUCGCCUGUUCGAAUCAGGCCGGGGGCGCCA
rnacentral:tRNA from 1 species